UACGUAGGGUGCAAGCGUUAAUCGGAAUUACUGGGCGUAAAGCGUGCGCAGGCGGUUAUGCAAGACAGAGGUGAAAUCCCCGGGCUCAACCUGGGAACUGCCUUUGUGACUGCACGGCUGGAGUGCGGCAGAGGGGGAUGGAAUUCCGCGUGUAGCAGUGAAAUGCGUAGAUAUGCGGAGGAACACCGAUGGCGAAGGCAAUCCCCUGGGCCUGCACUGACGCUCAUGCACGAAAGCGUGGGGAGCAAACAGG
rnacentral:rRNA from 1 species